rnacentral:lncRNA from 1 species
UUUACAUCUUCUAAGAAUCUUUCUAUAGGAACUAAUGUGAUGAUCCAGAACCAAAAUAAUUCACUGUGUCUCUACUUGAUUGCUAGCUCUGCCAUACUUACAGAAUUUUAGCUGAUAAACAAUAUAGUGGCAGCAGUGGAAAGAGGAAGAAUUGGAUCCAAGUUUUCAAAUUUUCUGUA